GCAAAGGAUUUCCCACAAUGCUCUCUGUGCAUAUAGAGGACCCUUACAAAGAAGGAACUUGGCAAAGGAAGAAGUCAAGACCUUGAAAGACGCAAAACAGGGACAGUUAGCUUUGCAGAGGCUACAUCGAGAGAAGUAUUACAAACAUGGAGACAAGACAAAGAGGUCCCUAUCUAGUAUGUGUCCUUAAUAAUUGACAACAUGGACCAAAACAAGGCAAACCUUCCUGUAUUUCCCGAACAACCAAAGAUUGAUGGCAGCUUGGCACAUGUCAAGCACCACCUGCCAUGUGUCGUCGAUCAUGGAAACCGAGCAACCCAUGCUGUUGUCUGGAAUACAUGUAUUCCAGGCGAUGCAAAUGUAAGAUGUACAGUGCUUCUGUAUGUCCUCAG